rnacentral:lncRNA from 1 species
CUGGAGUCAUUCAUCGUUGGAGACACUGUGUGAUGUUGUGAAGCCAGUCGUCUUCACAGAGCGCUCUUACGUUCUCCGGGAGGGAAACCCAAUUGAUCAAAUGCUCUUCGUGCUGCAAGGCAAGUUAUGGACCUACACUUCCAGGAGCAUAACUGGAUUCUCAAGCAAUUCUGGUAACCUGAACAACCAUCUGGAAGAUGGUGACUUUUCUGGAGAAGAACUCAUUGCUUGGGCAAAGGCUGACCGCGACUCAUCCAACCUCCCUAUAUCAACUAAAACAAUUCAAGCUCUUACAAAUGUUGAAGCAUUUGUUCUUAUGGCAGAUGAUUUAAAGCAGGUACUAUUGAAUAUUGAUCAUUAAGCAAAACAUUGCACUGGAUGUAUACAUGUAUUCUGACAAACUAGAUGGAGUGCACAAGCGUCCGCACAAGGAACGCCACCAUCCAACCUCCCUAUAUCAACUAAAACAAUUCAAGCUCUUACAAAUGUUGAAGCAUUUGUUCUUAUGGCAGAUGAUUUAAAGCAGGUACUAUUGAAUAUUGAUCAUUAAGCAAAACAUUGCACUGGAUGUAUACAUGUAUUCUGAC